rnacentral:lncRNA from 1 species
GGAAGACUCUGUCUCAAAAAAAAAAAAUAAAUAAAUAAAAAUAAAAAUAAAAUGUAAACAGAGAAUAAGAUACCAAAAGAAAGAACAUGAACAACUAAUUGUAACAAAAGCCUUUGUAAGCUGAUACUUUCCUUCCUGGAUCCUUGUCCCUUACAAAUGGAAAAAAAGGGUGGGUAGGGGGUAGCAUCCAAAUGAUGUUUUAAGACGGCUUGGGGUUUCAGAUGUCUGACAGCCAUACUCACGUACUUCAAGGAAAAAGCUCUAGCUCUAUAAGCCAUCUGGGCAAUGGUUUAAUGUCUUUUCCUUUUUUUUUUCCCCAGAGUUUUUAAAAUACAGGAAAACAUGUAUGUUUAUUUGGCUGCUCUGUGCCCGCACACGUGCAAACUGUGCUAACAGGUUUUUCCAUGUUUCGCUGAAUUUGCCAGCUUGCCAUAAACAGGCUUCCAUGUCGUAAUUGUCUAUAAAUAGCACAAACACACGAAAAUGCAAAUCAAGACAAGCUGUCCCUUCCACUGCUGUUGCCAUGAUGACAGGAGAGCGACCAUUGGCCAAAUCAAUACGCGGAGACUGCAGCUGUCUGGCAGAGAGCACAAGGUCGACUGCUUUUCCCAUAGCAUUUAAAGAAACAAGCGGAAACGGCUCUCCACACAGGACAGACACGUCCUUUGUUCUUUGAAUCAAUACUGCCAAUGCCCAAAAUACUUUCUCCAUCACACUAUCUAUAUGGAAUUCAAGUUCCUUCCAAUGCCAUGAGUAACGCCACUGAUAGACUAUGUUUAGUCAUAAUGACCCAUUAGCAUUCUUUUUCCUCUAAAAUGUUGAAAUAAUAACAUUGAGUGUGCACUCACGAGGUGCCAGGCUCUGAGUUUGAUCUCGUUUGGUUCUCGUUGAAAUCCUGUAAGAUCAGUACCAUAUUCUCUCAUUUUUCAUAGAUGAGGAAACUGAGGCAUAGAAAGGCUAAGUAAGUUGUCCAUGGUCACAGGUUAUUUAGGAACUUUUCUCCAAACUUUCAAAACUUAACCACUGCCACUAUUACAAAUGGGUUUUUGUUUGUUUGUUUUUGUUUUUUUUUUUUGAGACAAGGUCUUGCUCUGACCAGGCUGGAGUGCAGUGGCAUGAUGAUGGUUCACUGCAGCCUCGACUUCCCAGGCUCAAGUGAUUCUCGCACCUCAGCCUCUCCAGUAGCUGGGAUUACAGGCAUGAGCCACCACAUCUGGCUAAUUUUUUAAUUUUUAUUUUUUCUAGGGAUGGGGUUUCAUCAUGUUGCCCAGACUGGAUCCAAACUCUGGGCUCAAGAGAUCCUCCCAGGUCGGCCUCCCAAAGUCCUGGGAUUACAGGUGUAAGCCGCUGUGCACAGCCCUACAAAUGUGACUCAUACAAAGUCAGAGCAGUGAGCAGGAAGAGAACAGAGACUUCAGCGAGCCUCCUGGCUGUGGCAACACCAUAUCCCUCCUCCAUACCGUAAUGUGUCUACACCCACCAAGCUCCUAGACGUUGAAGGCAGGCCAGCUCAGAGACGAAACAGCAGUCAAGAAAGAGAAGAUGCAGACAUGUGUCUUGAUUUCAGCUUGAGCGUGCCUCUCUGCCUUGCAGCUGCACAGGCAGAAACUAGGGGCGGUGAGUCUGAGACAGUGUGUUUGGUUCCUGGCAGGUAAUCUUUUGGGAGACCAUCCCAUACAAUUAGUGUUACACUUCUCAAAAAGGAAGUGUGACUUUUAUAGAAAAAUCAUUUCCAUUUGGGAGAAAGGCCUAAUAAAACCACAAAAGGAUAAUACAUUCACACAACAACAAAUUCAAUUCAUCUGUCACAAACUGAAAUCCCAAAGCCCUCUGGGCACACAGCUGCUUUUCUGAGCUGAAAUUCAACUCCAGUUGAGAAACAGGCCAUGAGCACUGGCUGCAUGUCUGCUACGGCCCAGACUGCAAGGGAGGCGCCCUAGGGAACACAGAUGACCUCAGCACAGCGACACCCUCAAGGAGCACACACGGAGAAGGCAAGAGGAUACAAUCGCAGACUUCACACAGAAAAGAACGUGGCAUCCAUACCCCGUCCCAUUUCUAGAAAACAACGAUGCUGAGUCAGUAACAUUUACCGAACAGCCUGCAGUGUGGAGGCAGGCACGAGGGGGCUCCAUGCGGGGAAGAGCACCUUCAGAAGGGGGCAUGCAAACAACGUGGAGGCAGGAGACGCCCCCACGCACAAGGGCCAGCCUGGGGGCCUGCAGAAAUGCCCAUGCAUCUGGGAAGAGGGAGAGAGGACAAGAUACUUAAAUGCUCCAAAACGAAUAGAAGCCUCCCAAGAACCUCCCCCGAAAUGGGGCAGGGAUUUACAAAAGACCAAACCGAGCAUGCGCAGUUACCUGAGCAUAGCGCCAGGAGAGCGAGCUCUUCCAGGAAGAAACAGGGUCCCUAGAAGCCUGAGCCUCUACUCCCAGCUCUGCGACUCAUUCACCCUAUGACCUUGGUGAAGGCUCUUAGCUUCUGUGAGCCACAAGAGAAUCACGCGAAAACAGAAGAUAUGAAAACUGCUCUGCCUUUUUCACAGAACUGCUGAGGGAAUAAAAUCAGAUCAUGGAUUUUAAAAUUCUCUGUGAAUUACGAAGUAAAAUACAAAAAUAUGAAAUCAUUCUUACCAUUAGUAACAGCUCUGUAAAAUUAAGAGCAGAGGUAAGAUCACAGCAUUUUCCACCUCCCGACUCCCGAGAGAAAUAGUGAGUCCAGCCGAUGUAUUUGUGCAACCCCAGUAUCUAGGCUUUGAGAGCCUCAAACCGCUCAUGAACUCUGACAGUAUCACUCCAGCCCACUGUUCAUUAAGUUCUCCAAGACAGCCAACUGACCUAAAAUACUACAGCUUUUUCAGCUGGGCUUGAAGCCCAGCACACAGCACAGCUAAACAGUGAAGAGGUUUUCUGCCACUAGACUCAAAAGCUGGCUUUUGUAGAUUCCCAUAGAAAGAACAUUCAAGGCCAGGCAUCGCGGCACAUGCCUGUAAUCCCAGCAAUUUGGGAAGACGAGGCAGGAGGAUCACCUGAGGUCAGAAGUUCAAGAACAGCCUGGCCAAUAUGGCAAAGCCCCAUCUGUACUAAAAUACAAAAAUUAGCCGGGCAUGCUGGCGGGCACCUGUAAUCCCAGCUACUCGGGAGGCUGAGGCAGGAAAAUCGCUUGAACUUAGGAGGCCGAGGUUGCAGUGAGCUGAGAUCAUGCCACUGCACUCCAGCCUGGGCGACAAGAGCGAAACUCCAUCUCAAAGAAAAAAAAAAAAAAAA